AAGAAAUUAGCUCAAUUGGUUAGAGCAUUCGUUUUACACGCGAAAGGUUAUAGAUUCGAAUUCUAUAUUUCUUA
rfam:Hanseniaspora osmophila strain AWRI3579 Hanseniaspora_osmophila_AWRI3579_scaffold288, whole genome shotgun sequence.